rnacentral:miRNA from 1 species
UGUGUAUCGUGGUCGUCUACUGU